rnacentral:lncRNA from 1 species
AUCUUGGACUCGGUUCGACCCGGUCUGGUGACCGGCGACGCGGGGCCGGGCUCGGCGCCGGGGGUCGGGGAAAGAAGAACUAGGUCUGGCAGUAGAUCAGAAUCUACCUGUUGGGGAAAACCAGAAAUAGGAAGAAGAGUUAUUAACUGUUCAUUCUUAGCUGAGAAGAAUUCAGUAUGGAAUAAUUAAGAACUACUAUCAAUGCCUUUUACAAAAUGAGGUCAUUGGAUUGCAGAGUUGGUCUUCGAGAAGAUUUUGUGGCCUUUCUCAGCUGUCUAGGUGCUGUAGGUGCUGUGUUUCUAUGGCUGCAAGGAUGAAGAUUAUGAUAUGGAUGGAUGAUGGAAGGAAGGAUCCAUGAAUAUAAUAUUUGAGUUUCAGUUACUGGCCUUUACUUCUUCCAGAAAGUCAGGCCAAAAGAACAAAGUCCUAGAAGGUCUUCUGGUGAGUCACAUUCUGAGCAGGAAAUCUGGCAUUGAGGCAUAAUUAACAUUCAGGUUGCCCCCAGUUUCUAUGGAGAUGAGUCUAGCCCCUCGGGGGAGUAGUGAUGGAUGUGUAAUCUCCAAGAUAAGUAACUGACAGACUUGGAUGCAGCGAGUCAUCUGACCUGACCUGUGGACACAGCCUCUGCAUCUGUUGAGAGGACUAAAGGAGUCUAAUUCACAGUUACUGCAAGUAUAAUGGAGCUGAGAGGACUGUGUGAGCAAUAGCACCAAUGUAAGAGUUAUCAUAGAUUAACACACUACUGGUUCUGAUGCAGCACAUAAGACAAGUACCAUGGGAAUGCAGAGGAGAAAGCAAUUAGGGAGAUCAACAAAGUUUCACAAAGCAGCUAUGGUGAACUUGGCCUUGAGAGUAGGGUUUUCCUGGUGAAGAAAAACAUUCUAGGCAGAAGAAAUAGCAUACACAAAGACUCAGAGGCACCAAAGAGUCCUGUGUAUUUGGAGAAUAAUGAACAGAAAUUGCCAUAGAUUAGGUGGGAAGUCAUUGGUGUUAAUUGAUAGGUUUGAUAGAAGCCGAUUCUUGAAGGGUUUUGUAUGCCAUAGUAAAGGAUAGAGUUUUAUUUAAGGAACCACUGAAAAGCUUCAUUCAUUCUACAAAUAACUUUUUCGGUGAGCCAGUGUGUGCCAAGCAUGGUUGUAAGUACUUGUAAUACAUCAGAAUAAUAAUAAAAAGAAUAUUCAUGUACUCACCACCCAAUUUAAAAACUAAGAAAUUGUCAAUCCUUAUGUAAGUCUCUGUGUUCCCUUGUCAAUGGAAUCCUUCUCCUUGCUCCCCAAAAGUAACCCAAACGCUAAGUUUUAUGUUUGUCAUUUUCUUGUUUUUCAUUUCAGUUUUACUCAUAUGUGAGGAAGGGGGCUUAAGAAAUAUUUGCCCAAUU